rnacentral:rRNA from 2 species
UUAUGCGAUACUUGGUGUGAAUUGCAGAAUCCCGUGAACCAUCGAGUCUUUGAACGCAAGUUGCGCCCGAAGCCAUUAGGCUGAGGGCACGUCUGCCUGGGUGUCA